GUGCUAGAACAUAGGUGGCGACCAAUGAAAAUUUGACUAAAGCCCCAAAAAUACUAGGCUCUGCCUCCAACAUGCCGGAGUCCUUACAGAAACCCAUCAGAAGGCAGACAAACAGUCAAAAGUGUUCACCUCUUGGCUUCCUCAUUCCACGGGUACUGAGUUGUACAUGUUCCAGAUCUCCACCAACCCCAGGGAAGCCCUGUGCUCACUGCCUGGAAAAUUCCAUCCUCAAAGCCAAGUUGAGAAAGCAACAUGAAAAAAAAAAAUAGCAAGGCCUAUCGCUGACCCUUGUGCUUGCGACAUUGUCCGCAAUGGAUUCUGAACCGAGCACUGUUCACUGACUCAUCGAAAAGUGACCAGCGCAGCCUACCACGGUUGAACAAGAAAAUCAUGUGGCAUCAUAAACGUGGCCCAGCAAUAAAAUUCCAAAAAAGAAAAGACCUGAGUGUAAAUACUACCAACAUCACCACCAAGGAGACUCAUGUCCUUACGACCCCAGUUCAGAGGAGAGAGCUAAAGGCCUUUGGGUAAUUACCUCACUCUAGUGGAGGUGUCCC